UCGCCGCGGCGGUGGGCGGGCGGCUCGCCGGCGCGGACCCGGCGGCCGUCGUCACCGGCGGCGUGGAGUUCGACUCCCGGCGGGCCGGGCC
rnacentral:tRNA from 1 species